rnacentral:rRNA from 1 species
CCUACGGGGGGCUGCAGUGGGGAAUAUUGCACAAUGGGCGCAAGCCUGAUGCAGCCAUGCCGCGUGUGUGAAGAAGGCCUUCGGGUUGUAAAGCACUUUCAGCGGGGAGGAAGGCGGUGAGGUUAAUAACCUCAUCGAUUGACGUUACCCGCAGAAGAAGCACCGGCUAACUCCGUGCCAGCAGCCGCGGUAAUACGGAGGGUGCAAGCGUUAAUCGGAAUUACUGGGCGUAAAGCGCACGCAGGCGGUCUGUCAAGUCGGAUGUGAAAUCCCCGGGCUCAACCUGGGAACUGCAUUCGAAACUGGCAGGCUAGAGUCUUGUAGAGGGGGGUAGAAUUCCAGGUGGAGCGGUGAAAUGCGUAGAGAUCUGGAGGAAUACCGGUGGCGAAGGCGGCCCCCUGGACAAAGACUGACGCUCAGGUGCGAAAGCGUGGGGAGCAAACAGGAUUAGAUACCCGAGUAGUC